rnacentral:lncRNA from 1 species
ACAUUUUACGUUCUGUAAUCUCUUAUAAGUUAAAACCCCAUAAUUGCAUUGGAAGUGUGAAAGGAGAAUGUUUUGAUGUUGACACGAAAAAUUUAAAUAGUACAUAGCAAAGUUAAUAUCACCAUCGGAUCCCCAGCAGAUCGACUGUAUGAGGAAUUAUUUUGAUGUCCCAUCGCCGUUCUCUAAGUUUAAAUUACACACUAAAUAAUAAAAGUUAAUUAGAUAAUUCAUUGUACUUGUCACAUACUUUU